rnacentral:RNase_P_RNA from 1 species
UGAUCGCUCGGAGUAUUUUACUUUGAGAGGAAAGUCCGGGCUUCGUGUAAGCAAGAUGCCGGAUAACAUCCGGAGUACUAUUUAGUACAUGGAAAGUGCAACAGAAAAUAUACCGCUAUAUCAUAAGAUAUAGUAAGGGUGAAAAGGUGUAGGUAAGAGCUCACCACAUGUGUGGUAACAUGCAUGGUAUUGUAAACCCCAUCUGAAGCAAGACCAAAUAGGGAUAGCGUGAUUGAUAUCGUAGGUGCUUACAACUGUAGCUAUUCGGGUAGGUUGCUUGAGCUUAAUAGUAAUAUUAAGCCUAGAUAAAUGAUCAAU